UUACCGUAGGUGAACCUGCGGUAGGAUCAUUGUCGUGCCUGGCGCACCGUGAAGGGGAGGGAGGGAUUCUCCGGCGCGUCUGCGCGAAACCACCCCCGGGAGGAAGCUCCCGUGCGGGGUGGGCAAGGGCGGUCGGGUCGGACGGGUCGCCCUCUCCUGCCCCCGCCGUCGUUGUUGUCUCGAUCGGAUGAAGGCACGCCGGCCUUUGCCGUGUCGUUCCCCCGGGGGAUUUCCUCCGUCGGGCGCCGCGGCGCAUGGGCCUGCUUGCCUGUCGGAGGGUCGUUCGGCAGCGGCGCGGGUUAUACUUCGUGGGUUUCGUCGGCGGUUGCCUGCCUUUUGGUCGUGGGAGCGCGCGGGGCGUUGCGGCGGGCCGAUGGGUGCCGGAAGGUGUCUGCACCCUCGCCUGUCGGUCGACCCCGUCGCUGCCGUCCGAGGCGACGGCCGUUCGACGGUUCCCUAAGCAAAGCCCUCCGGCGUGAUGCCCUCCGGGCGGUGCUGCCGUCCCUUCGUAGCCCCGACGCCGAGCGCGGUCGGGCUCGGGGCCGGCCGUCGCCGUUUUCGGACGGGCAGAGCGGUUGGAGGCUCUGCCAGAACCCCCUGCCACGACGUCCCCCCGACGUCGCCGUGCGGUGGUUCGGCCCUCCGACGGCCUGCACCCGCGAUCCAGGUCGCGGGUGCGGACAUCCCCGUCGGACGGAGCCGUCCUCACCCGCGGUGCUCGGGCCUUCGUUUGGCCGGGCGGGGACAACCCCUCUUCCCCUUUGUUGCUCGCCCGCCCCAUUGAGGGGUAGCCGAACUCCGCGGUCGCCGUGUUUUCGGUCCCUUGGGGUGGGGGCAGCAACGGGGAUUUGGGCGCGUCAAUAAAAACCCCCCAAAACACCGGGUGCCAUCCGCACCAAGGACUUCGAUGCAAAAGCCGUGACGGACCCCGCACCUUUGCGUGCGGCGGCCGGCCGGCGUCCGACUAACACGACUCUCGGCAACGGAUAUCUUGGCUCUCGCCACGAUGAAGAACGUAGCGAAAUGCGACACUUGGUGUGAAUUGCAGAAUCCCGUGAAUCAUCGAGUCUUUGAACGCAAGUUGCGCCCGAGGCUUCGGCCGAGGGCACGUCUGCCUGGGCGUCGCACUCCAAAAAUCCGACCUCCGUUCGCCCCUGCGCGGGGGAGGAUCGGGAUGUGGUCGUCCGUGCCCCACGACGGUGCGGUCGGCUGAAACGCGCGCGUUGGCUCAUCGCCCCUUCUGACCCCGACGAGCGGUGGCCCCGUUCGGAGUCGGCGUUGGUCGGGUGUCAGGCGAUCGAGGCUCCGCGUAGGACUUUACGGCGGGGCGGGCGGCUUGCGCGUGCGCGCGGCCCCCGACCACUGCCCCAGCUCGCGCCCCCAGGUCAGGCGAGAAC
rnacentral:rRNA from 1 species